AAUCAACGCUGGCGGCGUGCCUCAGACAUGCAAGUCGAACGCGAAAGUCCCCUUCGGGGGACAAGUAGAGUGGCGCACGGGUGAGUAACACGUAGGUAAUCUACCUUCGGAUGGGGAAUAACAACCGGAAACGGUUGCUAAUACCGCAUAAUGCAGCGGCACCUAAUGGUGACAGUUGUUAAAGCGGGGGAGUCGAAAGACCUCGCGUCUGAAGAGGAGCCUGCGGCGGAUUAGCUAG
rnacentral:rRNA from 1 species